UUGCAGCCAAAGAUGGAGAAGCUCUAUAGAGUCAGCAAAAACAAGACUGAGAUCUGACUAUGGCUCAGGUCAUGAACCCCUUAUUGCAAAAUUCAGAUUUAAAUCGAAGAAAGUAGGGAAAGCCUCUAGACCAUUCAG